GAACUUAAGCAUAUCAAUAAGCGGAGGAAAAGAAACUAACAAGGAUUCCCCUAGUAACUGCGAGUGAAGCGGGAAAAGCUCAAAUUUAAAAUCUGGUGGUCCCGAGUUGGCUGCCCGAGUUGUAAUCUAGAGAAGUGCUUUCCGCGCUGGACCGUGUACAAGUCUCUUGGAACGGAGCGUCGUAGAGGGUGACAAUCCCGUCUUUGACACGGACUGCCAGGGCUUAUGUGAUGCGCUCUCGAAGAGUCGAGUUGUUUGGGAAUGCAGCUCAAAAUGGGUGGUAAAUUCCAUCUAAAGCUAAAUAUGGGCGAGAGACCGAUAGCGAACAAGUACCGUGAGGGAAAGAUGAAAAGAACUUUGAAAAGAGAGUUAAACAGUACGUGAAAUUGUUGAAAGGGAAACGAUUCAAGUCAGUCGCGUUGGCCGGUAAUCAACCCUUGCGAAGGCGGGGGCUUACUUUCCGUCUGACGGGUCAGCAUCAAUUUUGACCGUCAGAUAAAGGUUUGGGGAACGUGGCAUCUUCGGAUGUGUUAUAGCCCCUUGUCAGAUGUGACGGUUGGGAUUGAGGAACUUGGCACGCCCGCAAAGGGUCAGGGCUUUUUGCCCACGUAACGUGCUUUGGAUGCUGGCAUAAUGGCUUGAACCGACCCGUCUUGAAACACGGACCAAGGAGUCUAACAUGCCUGCGAGUGUUUGGGUGGCAAACUCGAGCGCGAAGUGAAAGUGAAACUUGUCGAGAUCUCUGUCGUGGGGAGCACCGACGCCCGGACCUGACCUUUUGUGAAGGAUCCGCGGUUGAGCAUGCAUGUUGGGACCCGAAA
rnacentral:rRNA from 1 species